UACGUAGGGGGCAAGCGUUGUCCGGAAUUAUUGGGCGUAAAGCGCGUGUAGGCGGCUCGAUAAGUCUGCUGUGAAAGUCCAGGGCUCAACCCUGGAAUGCCGGUGGAUACUGUCGAGCUCGAGUCCGGAAGAGGCGAGUGGAAUUCCUGGUGUAGCGGUGAAAUGCGCAGAUAUCAGGAGGAGCACCAAUGGCGAAGGCAGCUCGCUGGGACGGUACUGACGCUGAGACGCGAAAGCGUGGGGAGCAAACAGG
rnacentral:rRNA from 1 species